rnacentral:rRNA from 1 species
AGCCGCCGCGGUAACACCGGCGGCCCGAGUGGUGAUCGUGAUUAUUGGGUCUAAAGGGUCCGUAGCCGGUUUGGUCAGUCCUCCGGGAAAUCUGAUAGCUCAACUAUUAGGCUUUCGGGGGAUACUGCCAGACUUGGAACCGGGAGAGGUAAGAGGUACUACAGGGGUAGGAGUGAAAUCUUGUAAUCCCUGUGGGACCACCUGUGGCGAAGGCGUCUUACCAGAACGGGUUCGACGGUGAGGGACGAAAGCUGAGGGCACGAACCGGAUUAGAUACCCGGGUAGUCCCAGCCGUAAACGAUGCUCGCUAGGUGUCAGGCAUGGCGCGACCGUGUCUGGUGCCGCAGGGAAGCCGUGAAGCGAGCCACCUGGGAAGUACGGCCGCAAGGCUGAAACUUAAAGGAAUUGGCGGGGGAGCACAACAACGGGUGGAGCCUGCGGUUUAAUUGGACUCAACGCCGGACAACUCACCGGGGGCGACAGCAAUAUGUAGGCCAAGCUGAAGACUUUGCCUGAAUCGCUGAGGGGAGGUGCAUGG